GACGAACGCUGGCGGCGUGCUUAACACAUGCAAGUCGAACGGUGAAGCGCCUUCCUUUUUGGUGGGUGUGGAUGAGUGGCGAACGGGUGAGUAACACGUGAGUAACCUGCCCCCUUCUUCUGGAUAACCGCAUGAAAGUGUGGCUAAUACGGGAUAUUCUGGGUCUGUCGCAUGAUGGGUCUGGGAAAGAUAUUGUUUCGGUGGGGGAUGGGCUCGCGGCCUAUCAGCUUGUUGGUGGGGUGAUGGCCUACCAAGGCGGUGACGGGUAGCCGGCCUGAGAGGGUGGACGGUCACACUGGGACUGGGACACGGCCCAGACUGCUACGGGAGGCAGCAGUGGGGAAGAUUGCAGAAUGGGCGCAAGCCUGAUGCAGCGACGCCGCGUGAGGGAUGGAGGCCUUCGGGUUGUGAGCCUCUUUCGCCAGUGAAGCAGGCCUGCCUCGUUUGUGGGUGGGUUGACGGGAGCUGGAUAAGAAGCGCCGGCUAACUACG
rnacentral:rRNA from 1 species